CCUACGGGGGGCAGCAGUGAGGAAUAUUGGACAAUGGGCGCAAGCCUGAUCCAGCCAUGCCGCGUGCAGGAUGAAGCAUCUAUGGUGUGUAAACUGCUUUUGUACGAGAAGAAACACUGCUUCGUGAAGCAGCUUGACGGUAUCGUAAGAAUAAGGAUCGGCUAACUCCGUGCCAGCAGCCGCGGUAAUACGGAGGAUCCAAGCGUUAUCCGGAAUCAUUGGGUUUAAAGGGUCCGUAGGCGGGCCAGUAAGUCAGUGGUGAAAUCUCUCGGCUCAACCGGGAAAUGGCCAUUGAUACUGCUGGUCUUGAAUUAUUAGGAAGUAACUAGAAUAUGUAGUGUAGCGGUGAAAUGCUUAGAGAUUACAUGGAAUACCAAUUGCGAAGGCAGGUUACUACUAAUGGAUUGACGCUGAUGGACGAAAGCGUGGGUAGCGAACAGGAUUAGAUACCCCAGUAGUC
rnacentral:rRNA from 1 species